GACGAACGCUGGCGGCGUGCUUAACACAUGCAAGUCGAACGAUGAAGCCGGAGCUUGCUCUGGUGAAUUAGUGGCGAACGGGUGAGUAACACGUGAGUAACCUGCCCUCGACUCUGGGAUAACUGCGGGAAACUGUAGCUAAUACCGGAUACGACCCUCGGAGGCAUCUCCUGGGGGUGGAAAGAAUUUCGGUCAAGGAUGGACUCGCGGCCUAUCAGCUAGUUGGUGAGGUAAAGGCUCACCAAGGCGGCGACGGGUAGCCGGCCUGAGAGGGUGACCGGCCACACUGGGACUGAGACACGGCCCAGACUCCUACGGGAGGCAGCAGUGGGGAAUAUUGCACAAUGGGCGCAAGCCUGAUGCAGCAACGCCGCGUGAGGGAUGACGGCCUUCGGGUUGUAAACCUCUUUUAGCAGGGAAGAAGCGAAAGUGACGGUACCUGCAGAAAAAGCACCGGCUAACUACGUGCCAGCAGCCGCGGUAA
rnacentral:rRNA from 1 species